rnacentral:lncRNA from 1 species
AGUUAAAUGCAAGUUUUGUUAGUUUAGUUUUUCUGUUAUUAUUAGCAAUAUUGUCAGUUAUUGGUAUGCUAUUAGUUGCAAAUAAUGGUUAGUAAUAGUUCUUGUAAGUUGUUUAUUUAUAUGAAACUAGUCACCCUGUAAAUGAUUGACUGAAUGUUAGAUGAAUGGUGAUGAAGUUGUCAAGUGAAUAUUGUUGUUGAUAUCACUUAUGGUUAUGAGUAUUGGUGAUUUUUGUCAAAACUCUAUAGUGCUUGCAGUUACAGAAUUCAAUUAACUUGUUAUUUUCAAGUUUCUGCUAAUCUAUGUUUUGUUAUUAAGUGUUAAAUGUGGGUGAUCUCAAUUAACUAGUUAGUG